GACGAACGCUGGCGGCGUGCUUAACACAUGCAAGUCGAACGAUGAAGCCCAGCUUGCUGGGUGGAUUAGUGGCGAACGGGUGAGUAACACGUGGGCAACCUGCCCCAAACUCUGGGAUAACUCCUCGAAAGAGGUGCUAAUACCGGAUACGAACUAGACAGACAUCUGUACUAGUUGGAAAGUUUUUCGGUUUGGGAUGGGCCCGCGGCCUAUCAGCUUGUUGGUGAGGUAACGGCUCACCAAGGCUACGACGGGUAACCGGCCUGAGAGGGCAUCCGGUCACACUGGGACUAAGACACGGCCCAGACUCCUACGGGAGGCAGCAGUGGGGAAUAUUGCGCAAUGGGCGAAAGCCUGACGCAGCGACGCCGCGUGAGGGAUGAAGGUCUUCGGAUCGUAAACCUCUUUCAGUAGGGACGAAGCGAAAGUGACGGUACCUAAAGAAGAAGCACCGGCUAACUACGUGCCAGCAGCCGCAGUAA
rnacentral:rRNA from 1 species